AGGAGAGGCAGCAUGUGAGUGCUGCACCCACAUGACCCUGCUGGCUUCCUCCAGCAGAGCAGCUGAGCCACUGCUGCAGAAAGACUGAACUUGGGGGAGGGGGAGCGAGGAGGCUCGUCCUGACAGCUGAAGGAAGGAAAAAGCUGAGAAGGAAGAGGAGUGAGAGGGAGAGAGCCAGGCAGUGUGGAGACAGAGGCCAGCCAGGUCCAGCUGUACUAGGAGCAGGACAGAGGAACCGUCUGGGAGGCAACUCUUCCCUGUACAGCCUAGCAGAUGGGUACUGCCUCUCGUGCCCCACAGGACAUUGUUCACUCCCUCUUCUGUGUGGCAAACCCACUGGAAUGAUCUGAGAUGAAGUGUGCCCCAGUGAUCUGGACUACUCAGCAACCUUCAGUCCCAGUCAGCUCUGCAUGGACCCAGCUACGUGGGGAGUGUUUUUCUGCUCUGGACUGUAUUGGUCCAUCUGGGCAUGCAGACCCAAGGCUGUGCCACCUAAUGAGUGGAACAGAAGAGUCAGAGACCACAAGUAGGAGACAGAUUUGUGGCUAGUACAGCUCUCUUCUGAUCUUCAGUCUUGCACUUACCCAAGGAUAAGGGUCCUUCUCAUCCGACAGAUACUCGCUUCCUCUCUACUGAACUAUACUGAACAUCUUGAUCUGACAAGUGGGCCUGAUCUGCUGUCCCAGAGCCUCUAUGUCAGCAGAAUCCUGAUGUUUGGCUUGAUUUGGGGGACACCUUGCAGCCAGGCCUGGCUGGCUUAGAGGAUGACAGCGGCAAGUUGGUAUCAUCGGGACAUCAGCCGGGUUGUGGCUGAGGAUUUGCUGGCCAAAGCUGGAAAGGAUGGGUGCUUCCUGGUGCGGGACAGUGAGUCUGUGUCUGGGGCAUAUGCCCUUUGCCUGCUGUUCCAGAGACAUGUGCACACCUACAGGAUCCUGCCUGAUGAGGAAGGGCUGCUCUCUGUGCAGACCAUCCAGGGCAUCCAGGCUAAAUGCUUCCGCACACUGACUGAUCUAAUAAGCACCUACCAGCAGCCCAACAAUGGCCUGGUGACCCCUCUGCUUUACCCUGUGAAUAGAGUGAGGGAGCCAGCAGAUGAGGACUCUGAUGGUGAAGACGGCAGAGCCUUCUAUCCUCCAAGCUUGGCCUCCCACAGUGGGGCAGGCACAGGCAGCGGGUGGGCCACAACUCAGCCCAACAAGAUGCAGAUCUCUCAGCAGCUGCAUCUGAGGCUGCAGGAGCAGGUGCACAGCAGCCCAGCCGGUGAUUUCAUGGGGUUCAUGGCUGAGUAUCUCAACCACCACCUGCAGCUGGACCUGGAGGCCCUGCGGAAUGGGAACCUGCAGCUGCGACACCUGAGCAUGGCCUUAGUGACUGCCUGCCGGGGGCUACACAGUGAAAUCGACUUCACGCUGGCUGGCUUAGAAACUCUGGCCAAGGUGUUUGACUCUCCAGCUUCUCCUCGGAGUCCUGUGAGAGAGCAGGGUCUCCUGGCCAGUGAUCCAGACCUGGAACUGCUCCUCAACAAGAUCUCAACUGUCAACCACCUGCUUUCUUCUCUGGAGAAAAAGGUGCUGAAGUCUCUGCAGGAGACAGUGUCCAGGCACAAUCUGGCACUUCCCAGCAUGGCUGUAGCCCAGACCCAGUCCCCAGCUGCCAAGCCCAUGGCUGUCCAGAGCUUUGAGGUUAAAGUGGGCAAACUGCAGAAGGCAACACUGACAGUGGAUGUAGAGGCUGGGACUGUGGCCAUCAUGAAGAGAGGCAGCAGCUCUCCAGAGGAGACCAUCACUCAGGACAAAAUCUUGCAGCUGAUUAAAUACCAGAGCAUGCAGACCAAAGUGCGGCUGGUGUACGACAGGGAGCAGCACCGAAACCUCAUCAGGGACUUCCUCUUCCAGAAUGCACGGAAGCGAGAGGCUUUCUGCCAACUGCUGCAGCUCAUGAAGAUCCAGCAUUCCAGCCUGGAUGAGCCUGACCUCAUUUCUGUGUAUGUUGGGACAUGGAACAUGGGCAGUGCUCCACCCCCCAGAUCCUUGGCUUCAUGGCUGACAUCGAGGGGCUCGGGACGGACUCACGAUGAAACCACAGCCUGCAUCCCUCAUGAUAUCUAUGUUAUUGGCACCCAGGAGAACUCACUUGGGGACCGUGAAUGGGUGGAGUUCCUGAGAGCCUCUCUGAAGACUUUGAUGGCCAUAGAUUUCCGAGUGGUUGCCUUGCAGUGCCUCUGGAGCAUCAAGAUUGUGGUGCUGGUGAAACCAGAGCAUGAACGCCGCAUUAGCCACGUGAACACAUCUAGUGUGAAAACAGGAAUCGCAAAUACACUAGGUAAUAAAGGGGCUGUGGGUGUCUCCUUCCUUUUCAAUGGGACCUCAUUUGGGUUUGUGAACUGCCACCUGGCUUCAGGGAGUGAAAAGAUACACAGGCGAAACCAGAACUACAGUGACAUUCUACGUUCGCUGGUUCUGGGUGACAAGAGGCUUAGUGGCUUCGACCUCACCCUGCGCUUCACACACCUCUUCUGGUUUGGAGAUCUCAACUACCGCCUCAGCAUGGAUGUCCAGGACAUCUUAGCCCGUGUGAACAAAAAGGAGUUUGAAGCCCUGCUGGUUGUGGACCAGCUCAAUCUGGAGCGAGAGAAGAGCAAGGUGUUCCUGCGAUUUAAUGAGGCAGACAUCUCCUUCCCUCCUACAUACCGAUAUGAGCGGGGCUCCCGGGACACCUAUGUCUGGCAGAAGUUCAAACACACUGGGAUGAGAAUCAAUGUCCCUUCAUGGUGCGACCGCAUCCUGUGGAAGUCACACCCAGAGACCCAUGUGAUCUGUAAUGCAUACGGCUGCACCAAUGACAUCAUGACCAGUGACCACUCUCCUGUCUUUGCCACAUUUGAGGUGGGAGUGAUGUCUCAGUUCGUGCCCAAGAAGGCACCUGGCUCCAGCCCUGAGUCUCUGGCAUGCAUUGAGUGGGACAGCAUUGAGGUGAUUGUGAAAACAGCCAGCCGCAGCAGGUGCUACAUUGAAUUCUACUCCUCCUGCCUGGAAGAGUCUCAGAGGAGUGGAGAGAACAGCUCCCAAAACAGUGACAUCCCUGGCUUUCUCAAACUCAGUUGGUCAGCUAAGCAACUGCCAGUGCUGAAUCCAAUCCUUUCGGACCUGGAGUACCUGCUGGACCAGCACCUGCUCCUCAGUGUCAAGGGAGUGGACGGCUGUGAGUCAUACGGUGAGUGCUGCAUUGCCAUGAGGUCUAUGAUCAGCAGUCUGGCCCAGCAGUUUGAGACUUUCCUCUACCACCGGGGUGAAGAAACAGGUUCCAUGCGUGGCUGGAUGAAAGUCCGAGUUCCCAAGGACAGACGCAGCACUCGGGAGAGGCUCUAUGAGUGGAUCAGCUUUGAGACAGAUGCAACAGAGUCCCCUGAAGACACCUCACCCUGCACCAAGCCAUCUCAGCAAUCUGUCAGGAGCCGGCCCUUCAGCUUCCCUGAGACAGCCAGUAGUUACACCAAUCCAGCUUACUUCAUAUUUGAGGGAGUCCCUAAUACCUGGACACUGGGUACAAACCUGCCGGAGCCUCCCUACAGUUCAGCCAGUGAUGUGCAGGAAGAAGCGUGCCUGGGCCAUGUGCCAGGCCACAGGCUCCGAAGCCUGGCAGGAGAACAGACCUGCUCCUCCUCAGGAGAACCGCUGCAGAGAAGCCCCCAUUACUCUGUGCCUGUGAGCAUGUCAUAUGGGCAUCAGCUCAGCCCUCUCCAGUCUGGAAGGCACAAGAGGCCCAAAUCAGCUCUGCUGCUGAGAGACAUGCCAGCAUCGAGUGACUAUUCCCUCACAGCCUUGCAUUUGGCCAAGCACCUCAGUGACCUGGACACAGAGCCUCACAAGAGGGGAAGCUGCUUGGGCACCAGCCAGCUGAAGAGCCGGAAGAACCCAUUGCGCCAUACGCGCAGUGCACUGGAGCCUCCACCACAGGACUGUCGGGAGGGGACAGUCUUCCUGCAGAGUAGUCACCAGCUCAGCCAUGACCUAGAGGAGUGAGCAUUCCUGGAGCAUAGGCAUGUGUCUGAGUCACUUUGGCCUGGAAUAGUAGGAGGAUGGGUUAUUUGAAAAUGGCCUGGAAGAUACAGUGUUCUUCAGAGACACCGUCGUACAGGGCCUGUUGGCAGCCGCAGUGCUGAACCCCACUCGCCACGUGCUCCUCCAAGUCAAGCUUCACAAGAGCAACUGUGAAGGCCUGCAACAGAGACCCAGCCUGAAACUGAACUCCAAGGGCUGCAUUAAGUCUGGCAUUCACUCACCUAGAAGUCCUUGUACUCCUCAGGGAAAUGGCUGGGAGCAUGUGGAGAGGAGCUAUGGAAGACAUUGUGUCCCAGACAGUGGCAGUGGGCCAGGACUGGAGAUCACUGAGCUAAGAGCCUCUGGAUUUAAACCAUUCCCUUUGCUGGCUUCUUUUGCCAUCUUCACUGUCACACUGAUUUCAUCUUGUCGCAUGGUGGCAAUUACAGGAAGUUCCCUGUGCAUCUGACUGAGGCUGUACCAAAGCAGGGAGUGCUCAUGUGUCUAGCCACAAUCCCAAACUCUUCUGCCUCACACUAUGGAGAGGGGCUGGGAUUUCAGAGAGGCCAAAACUUAUAGGCAAGCUCCAGUUGAGAUUCUGGCACUCUCUCAAGCAAUUUUCUUCCCUCCCUGUCUGAACCAUAGAAAGUUCCCAGCCUCUUCUUAAAGGACUGUUAGGUCUCAACCCUAAUGCUGAGCCCAGUGCUCUAGCUACACUCAGUCCAGCACAGCAUGAGUUGGGGGAGGUGAGAACCACAGGGUUCAUGUGCCUCGGCCACAAUAGAGCUCUUGUGGUCUCCAGUUUCCGAUGCUGCAAUACCAGGGUGCUUUGCAGUUAGUUGACACAGUCUUGGUUUCUCAAGGGUUUCAGCUGCAACAUCAUAUGUUGAGCAGGUCCCCAGCACUGUAGCAUCCUGGCACCUCUCAGCUCUGCCUUGUGGAGAAUGCCCCGGCUAAACCCAAUGGAGUCCAGGCUCCUCCUAUCCUGGAGCACACCUAAUCCUUUCAUGAGAGCCCAGACAGCAUCUCAGAGCUUGCAGGGCACUCCCUACCAUCUUCCCCUCAAGUGUCUUACUCCGCCCUAUGGGGGUGCUCACUGUGUUUAGUUACAGUUUACAUGUGAUUUUUCUAAAGGCUCCAUGUUGCUGGUUUCUUAUGAGAUGCAGUUUCUAUGUCAAUUAACAAUAAAACCCCAAAGCUAUGAGGAAGCUCCACACUGAAUUCACAGUCUGUCUUCUUUGAACUGUGUGCUUGACAAUAUGAAUUUGGUGUCUCUAGCAAGUGAAGGGUAAUGAUACUGGCUAGAGCCAAGCAAAUUGUGGAGAUGUAGAGUACAGGCAGGCAGGCAGUCCUCGACUUAAGAUGUUUCGCAUUACAAUGAAUGGCAUUUACAACGUUUAUAAAUUGACACCCUGUUUCAACUUUCUGACAUAAUUUUUGACUUAACGAUGCUUGAUCCGACGCCACGCCACACCAGCAAACAAGUUCGCUGCGUAGCCUGUCUCCCUGGAGAACAUCUGUCCAAAUUUCUCUGGACACUUUCUUUAAGAAGGCAGACAAGACUCCAG